GACGAACGCUGGCGGCGUGCCUAAUACAUGCAAGUCGAGCGCAGGAAACUGACGGAACUCUUCGGAGGGAAGGCAGUGGAAUGAGCGGCGGACGGGUGAGUAACACGUAAGGAACCUGCCUCAAGGAUUGGGAUAACUCCGAGAAAUCGGAGCUAAUACCGGAUAGUUCAACGGACCGCAUGGUCCGCUGAUGAAAGGCGCUUCGGCGUCACCUUGAGAUGGCCUUGCGGUGCAUUAGCUAGUUGGUGGAGUAACGGCCCACCAAGGCGACGGUGGAUAGCCGACCUGAGAGGGUGAUCGGCCACGCUGGGACUGAGACACGGCCCAGACUCCUACGGGAGGCAGCAGUAGGGAAUCUUCCACAAUGGACGAAAGUCUGAUGGAGCAACGCCGCGUGAGUGAUGAAGGUUUUCGGAUCGUAAAACUCUGUUGUAAGGGAAGAACACGUACGAGAGGGAAUGCUCGUACCUUGACGGUACCUUACGAGAAAGCCACGGCUAACUACGUGCCAGCCGCCGCCGUAA
rnacentral:rRNA from 1 species